rnacentral:lncRNA from 1 species
AAAAUAAUACAUUUAUUUUAUAACAAAAAAUCAAUUGUCAUUUGCUUGAAAAAUAAAUAUCGCAAAGAAGAUCCAUUGUCGUUAACACAAAGAGAAUAUAGUCGUAAAAAGAUGGACUAGUGAUUUUCCCAUCGGAAUAUUCAAAUGAUAUGAAAAGGAGUUACUGUAAAAAAAUCCCUUAUGGUCUCCUCUCCCUAAGAAGUUGAUGUCGCAGAGAAGAUCUAUUUAUCUUUCAUUUUCAUGCAUGCAAAUAAAAUAUUUCAUCUUCCAUCGACGUACAUCAAAUAUUUCAUUACCAUUUAUAUUUGUCGCUAGAAACUUCACUCUGUCUUCCUUGAUUCUCUUGGCCACUUUGACAUUCGCAGGUGGUGAUUGUUGAUAGACUACACCCUUGUCAUUAAGACCAUUAAUUACUACAAGCAUCUUGAAAAUUGGCAACGGGUUUACCGACAGAUUUUGAAAAGUGAUCAAGAUUUUCUUGCCUUCAUUUCUUACCAUGAUCAAGAUUUUGAUGUAAAAUGAUGACCAUUUAUAGUUUCU